rnacentral:rRNA from 1 species
UGGGGAAUAUUGCACAAUGGGCGAAAGCCUGAUGCAGCGACGCCGCGUGAGGGAUGACGGCCUUCGGGUUGUAAACCUCUUUCGACAGGGACGAAGCGCAAGUGACGGUACCUGUAGAAGAAGCACCGGCCAACUACGUGCCAGCAGCCGCGGUAAUACGUAGGGUGCGAGCGUUGUCCGGAAUUACUGGGCGUAAAGAGCUUGUAGGCGGUUCGUCGCGUCGUUCGUGAAAACUUGGGGCUCAACCCCAAGCUUGCGGGCGAUACGGGCGGACUAGAGUACUGCAGGGGAGACUGGAAUUCCUGGUGUAGCGGUGAAAUGCGCAGAUAUCAGGAGGAACACCGGUGGCGAAGGCGGGUCUCUGGGCAGUAACUGACGCUGAGAAGCGAAAGCGUGGGUAGCGAACAGG